GGAAGGAUCAUUCAUAAUAAGUGUUUAUGGCACUUUUAAAAAUCCAUACCCACCUUGUGUGCAUCGUUAGUCAUGUUCCUCGUUCUCACUUGAGAGGGCGAGGAGGCAGACUUCAAAUUAAUCUAUCUUUAACCAGUUUGUCUGAAGCAAUGUAUCGUGAAUUAACAUAAUUCUAAAAUACAACUUUCAACAACGGAUCUCUUGGCUCUCGCAUCGAUGAAGAACGCAGCGAAAUGCGAUACGUAAUGUGAAUUGCAGAAUUCAGUGAAUCAUCGAAUCUUUGAACGCACAUUGCGCUCUCUGGUAUUCCGGAGAGCAUGCUUGUUUGAGUAUCAGUAAAACACCCUCAGUUUUUUCUUUUUUGAAAAAGCUGGACUUGAGUGAUCCCAACGGGUUUUUUUUUAAAAAGGCCGGCGGGUUGCUUGAAAUGCAGGUGCGGCUGGACACAUCUUCUGAGCUAUAAGCAUUACCUAUUUAGUCCCGUCAAACGGAUUAUUUCUAUUGCUACAGCUAAUAUAAAGGUUGAUUGUCCUUUUGCCCGACUGAUGCAGGAAAACAUGGAGAAAUCCUUGUUCAACUCGAUCUCAAAUCAAGUAAGACUACCCGCUGAACUUAAGCAUAUCAAUAAGCGGAGGAAAAGAAACUAACAAGGAUUCCCCUAGUAACGGCGAGUGAAGCGGGAUGAGCUCAAAUUUAAAAUCUGGCUGGUUUACCAGUCCGAGUUGUAGUUUAAAGAAGCGUUUUCGGUGGCAGGCCGGGUAUAAAUCCUUUGGAACAGGGUAUCAUAGAGGGUGAGAAUCCCGUCUUUGACUCGGCUGAUGUUACUAUGUGAUACGUUUUCAAAGAGUCGAGUUGUUUGGGAAUGCAGCUCAAAAUGGGUGGUAAAUUUCAUCUAAGGCUAAAUAUUGGCGAGAGACCGAUAGCGAACAAGUACCGUGAGGGAAAGAUGAAAAGAACUUUGAAAAGAGAGUUAAACAGUGCGUGAAAUUGUUGAAAGGGAAACGUUUGACACCAGCUAUGUAGGCGGAAAAUCAGUCAAGCGCAGUGAGGGGCUGGUGUUUGUCCGGACCGCAAGGCCGGCGGAUAUCUCAUCUUUGCUGUGGGUGAUGCACUUUUUCGUUCGCAGGUCAACAUCAGUUUCGCUUGCUGGACAAAACCCCGAGAGAAGGUAGCAGCUUUGGCUGUGUUAUAGCUCUGGGGCGAUACAGUGGGUGGGACUGAGGAUUCGCAGUGUGUGCUCUCGGGCAAGGCUGACUGGGUGCUCUGGGGUCGUUUGGCGUACAAUGCAUGCAUUUUGCGUCUUGUCUUCUUCAGACUCGCUUAGUUCGGCUCUUCCACGCUUAGGAUGUUGACUUAAUGGUUUUAAACGACCCGUCUUGAAACACGGACCAAGGAGUCUAACAUGCAUGCAAGUGUUUGGGUGGCAAACCCAUGCGCGUAAUGAAAGUGAACGUAGGUGCGAUCCGCAAGGUGCAGCAUCGACCGAUCUUGAUAUUUUUGGAUAGAUUUGAGUAAGAGCAUGUAUGCUGGGACCCGAAAGAUGGUGAACUAUGCCUGAAUAGGGUGAAGCCAGAGGAAACUCUGGUGGAGGCUCGUAGCGAUUCUGACGUGCAAAUCGAUCGUCAAAUUUGGGUAUAGGGGCGAAAGACUAAUCGAACCAUCUAGUAGCUGGUUCCUGC
rnacentral:misc_RNA from 1 species